rnacentral:rRNA from 1 species
UACAGAGGUCCCAAGCGUUGUUCGGAUUCAUUGGGCGUAAAGGGUGCGUAGGUGGCGCCGUAAGUCGGGUGUGAAAUUUCGGAGCUUAACUCCGAAACUGCAUUCGAUACUGCGGUGCUCGAGGACUGGAGAGGAGACUGGAAUUCAUGGUGUAGCAGUGAAAUGCGUAGAGAUCAUGAGGAAGACCAGUGGCGAAGGCGGGUCUCUGGACAGUUCCUGACACUGAGGCACGAAGGCCAGGGGAGCAAACAGG